UUCUUCACAGGUGGUUACCACCGUCUUUUUCUGCCCAUUAUCUCCACAAUUCAAGCUGGUGGUUUUGCUCCACUCAUGACCUCCAUAACUCCAGCCUCCUACAAUCCUGGUAAACCGCCAAUUCAACUGCCCACUCUCCCCUAAUUUUAGGGUUUGAAGAGGUUAAAUAUAGAAUGAGCGCAAGAAGGAAAUCUGAAGUGGAGUUCUCCUUGACGACAGUUCCCCAUGCUCCUGUAAUUGGUGCUUCUCACCCACCCAUAAAUCAUGGGUUCCAUCUCCAAAUCAAAAAUGCAAGAAAGUAGAUGCCUCAUACGAUUGACAGAGUUCUCCAGAGCAGGGGUUGAUCUAAUUGAUAGGUUGGUGCAGUUCAUCAAACCAGGAUGCCUUCCACUGAUUCAGUUCUCCUCCCACGAGUUCAAGGAAACCCUAAUGAAAAAAGGAAGCUUUCAUCAUCAAAUCCACAAAUCUCAAUCAAUUCCAGUUAGUUUACUACACAUUUCAACCUUCAUCAAGGGCGUUGGUUUUUAUUACUUCUACUUUUGCUUCAAUUGCAUUUUCGGUUCUAAUUCUCAUACAGAGCAAGAUGUUUUCAUUGAUUUUACCCAUUUAUUCACUGUUUUUGUUGCUUAAUUUAGUAGUGGUUUUUUGUAUUGUGGUGUUUCUUAUGUAAUUAUUGUUUGCACUACAGGGCUUCAGUUUAGUGCAAGCGAUUUGCAAACUUUAGAUCGGAAUUGUCUAUCACUGGCGACUUUGAAUAUAUCCUGGAAGCGAUUUGCUACGGUGAAGGCUUUGAAUGCUGAAAAUGAUUCAGUCGUUCCUUCUGCGGCCACCGUGUUUGCUCAUGUGGUACUGAAUAUAUGAAAGACAACCUAGCAACCAUACCCCAAAAGACCAAGCAAUUCCUUAUGAAAACACACUUUGGGUGAUGAAGGUUGUAAGUUUCGUAGCUUUGAUACCUCAGGAGGUGUUUGGCCACACUAACUGCUGCAACCACUUUUACAUGGAUUUGGUGAAGGUUGGGAUUUUGGUGAAGUGACGGCGAACAAUGGCAGGGGGUAAAUGCAUCACAGUAGAAUCUAGGAGGAAGUGGAAUAGGGGAUUAUCUUUCCAACUUGUCAUGACCAUGGUACUGGGGUUAACGCAGCAUGCAUGCAUACUUUGUCAACGAUCACAUUAAGAUUAUUGAUGAAGUUACAAAAGGGAGUCAAAACUCAAUAUAGUCAAAGACAGAUUCUACAAGAAACUAUCAUACAUAGAAUAUGUCUAGAAGGGCACUUGCAUAUGGAAAAGAUUUGAAAAGCGGAAAAGUUGGUGAUUAAAGAAGAAAAAUGUGGAAGAAGCAUCAUAAUAGCAUGUAAGAUAAUAGUGGGUUAAAAAAAUUCGGAUGAUGUUUGUUGUUUAUUUAUGUUUUUGUGUUUAUUUUUCAUUUUUUAAAGCAACAUGAUUUUUGUAGCCAAUAUGAUUUGAUGUAGCGCUUACAUUAUGACGUUAAUAUUCCUCCACUGGACGGGUAAAGUACUAUUUGAUGUAGCGCUUACAUAUUUGAAUGUUAUAACACUU